rnacentral:rRNA from 1 species
UACGUAGGGACCGAGCGUUGUCCGGAAUCAUUGGGCGUAAAGAGCGUGUAGGCGGCUAUUUAAGUCCUGCGUGAAAUCCUGCGGCUCAACCGCAGACGGUCGUGGGAAACUGGAUGGCUAGAGUGCGGGAGAGGAGAGUGGAAUUCCCGGUGUAGCGGUGAAAUGCGCAGAUAUCGGGAAGAACACCCGUGGCGAAGGCGGUUCUCUGGAACGCAACUGACGCUGAGACGCGAAAGCGUGGGGAGCAAACAGG